ACUGAGCUCGGUAACGCGUGGGCAUGUCACCAAGUGGAGUAUUAAGGUAUUUGAAUAAUUUGGUAUUGAGCUCAAGGUUGACAUUAUGAGCUAGCUUUGAUUUGCCUGUUUCCAAGUUGGACAGUGGAUGCUAUGUUUCAGCCUAACGCUUGAAUCAUAUCCUCCCUAAACUUGAGGGUAAUGCGUGAGGCUGGUUUCACAGAGCAGCGAUUACCUCACACUCUCAACGGUGGAAGGAUUACAAGUCAUUUGCUUAUAUUGCCAAUUAACCUUGGAAUCCACCAAAUUCAACAAAUAUUUUU
rnacentral:SRP_RNA from 1 species